UACAGAGGUCCCAAGCGUUGUUCGGAUUCAUUGGGCGUAAAGGGUGCGUAGGCGGCGCGGUAAGUCGGGUGUGAAAUCUCGGAGCUUAACUCCGAAACUGCAUUCGAUACUGCCGUGCUUGAGGACUGGAGAGGAGACUGGAAUUUAACGGUGUAGCGGUGAAAAUGGCGUAGAUAUCGUAAGGAAGACCAGUGGCGAAGGCGGGU
rnacentral:rRNA from 1 species